rnacentral:rRNA from 1 species
UCUUUCGGGAGUACACGACCGGCGCACGGGUGAGUAACGCGUAUGCAACCUGCCCUUAUCCGGGGGAUAGCCCGAAGAAAUUCGGAUUAAUACCCCAUAAUACGAUCAGGCCACCUGGCCUUUUGGUUAAAAUUCCGAUGGAUAAGGAUGGGCAUGCGUGACAUUAGGUAGUUGGUAGGGUAACGGCCUACCAAGCCCACGAUGUCUAGGGGGUCUAAAAGGAUGGUCCCCCACACUGGUACUGAGACACGGACCAGACUCCUACGGGAGGCAGCAGUGAGGAAUAUUGGUCAAUGGGCGCAAGCCUGAACCAGCCAUGCCGCGUGGAGGAUGACUGCCCUACGGGUUGUAAACUCCUUUUGAACGGGAAUAAAAACGGGUACUUGUACCGGCUUGAAUGUACCGUUCGAAUAAGCACCGGCUAACUCCGUGCCAGCAGCCGCGGUAAUACGGAGGGUGCAAGCGUUAUCCGGAUUUAAUAGGUUUAAAGGGUGCGUAGGCGGGCGUUUAAGUCAGUGGUGAAAUCCCGUGGCUCAACCACGGAACUGCCAUUGAUACUGAACGCCUUGAGUGCGGUUGAGGUAGGCGGAAUGCGUUGUGUAGCGGUGAAAUGCAUAGAUACAACGCAGAACACCAAUUGCGAAGGCAGCUUACUAAGCCGUAACUGACGCUGAUGCACGAAAGCGUGGGUAGCGAACAGGAUUAGAUACCCUGGUAGUCCACGCCGUAAACGAUGAUCACUAGUUGCAUGCGAUACACUGUAUGUGACCGAGCGAAAGUAUUAAGUGAUCCACCUGGGGAGUACGUUGGCAACAAUGAAACUCAAAGGAAUUGACGGGGGCCCGCACAAGCGGUGGAACAUGUGGUUUAAUUCGAUGAUACGCGAGGAACCUUACCCGGGCUUAAAUGGGGGGUGCAUUAGGUGGAAACACUUAUUUCCUUCGGGACUCCCCUCAAGGUGCUGCAUGGUUGUCGUCAGCUCGUGCCGUGAGGUGUCGGGUUAAGUCCCAUAACGAGCGCAACCCUUGCCGUUAGUUGCCAGCGGGUCAUGCCGGGGACUCUAGCGGGACUGCCACCGUAAGGUGAGAGGAAGGUGGGGAUGACGUCAAAUCAGCACGGCCCUUACGUCCGGGGCUACACACGUGUUACAAUGGCAGGUACAGAGGGCAGCUACAUGGCAACAUGGUGCGAAUCUCGAAAGCCUGUCUCAGUUCGGAUCGGGGUCUGCAACUCGACCCCGUGAAGCUGGAAUCGCUAGUAAUCGCGUAUCAGCAACGACGCGGUGAAUACGUUCCCGGGCCUUGUACACGCCGCCCGUCAAACCAUGGAAGCCGGGGGUACCUGAAGUCCGUCACCGUAAGGAUCGGCCUAGGGUAAAUCUGGUAACUGGGGUUAAGUCGUAACAAGGUA